rnacentral:rRNA from 1 species
CCCCUAGUAACUGCGAGUGAAGCGGGAAAAGCUCAAAUUUGAAAUCUGGCGGCUCCGUCGCCCGAGUUGUAUUCUGGAGAAGCGUCUUCCGCGCCGGACCGUGUACAAGUCCCUUGGAACAGGGCGUCAUAGAGGGUGAGAAUCCCGUCUUUGGCACGGACUCCCGGUGCUCUGCGAUGCGCUCUCGAAGAGUCGAGUUGUUUGGGAAUGCAGCUCAAAAUGGGUGGUAAAUUCCAUCUAAAGCUAAAUAUUGGCGAGAGACCGAUAGCGAACAAGUACCGUGAGGGAAAGAUGAAAAGCACUUUGGAAAGAGAGUAAAACAGUACGUGAAAUUGUUGAAAGGGAAACGCUUGAAGUCAGUCGCGUCUUCUGGAACUCAGCCUUGCUUCUGCUCGGUGCACUUUCCAGUUCGACGGGCCAGCAUCGGUUUCGGGCGGUGGACACUGGCGAGGGGAAGGUGGCAGCUCCGGCUGCGUUAUAGCCCCUCGUCGCAAACUCCGCCUGGGACCGAGGAAUCCGGCGCGAGCCUGGGAUGCUGGCGUAAUGGCUUUAAACGACCCGUCUUGAAACACGGACCAAGGAGUGCUACACGCUCGCGAGUGUUUGGGUGGCAAACCCGAGCGCGCAAUGAAAGUGAAAGUCGAUACCCCUCGCGGGGGCACCGACGCCCGAGCCCGAUGUUCUCGGAGGGCCUUGCGGUAGAGCGAGUGCGUUGCGACCCGAAAGAUGGUGAACUAUUCCUGAGGAGGGCGAAGCCAGAGGAAACUCUGGUGGAGGCUCGUAGCGGUUCUGACGUGCAAAUCGAUCGCAGGACUUGGG